rnacentral:rRNA from 1 species
UACGGGGGGGGCAAGCGUUGUUCGGAAUUACUGGGCGUAAAGGGUUCGUAGGUGGCCAACUCAGUCAGACGUGAAAUCCCUCAGCUCAACUGGGGAACUGCGUCUGAUACUAGAUGGCUCGAGUGCAGGAGAGGAACGCGGAAUUCCAGGUGUAGCGGUGAAAUGCGUAGAUAUCAGGAAGAACACCAAUGGCGAAAGCAGCUUUCUGGGACGGUACUGACGCUGAGACGCGAAAGCGUGGGGAGCGAACAGG